AUUGAACGCUGGCGGCAGGCCUAACACAUGCAAGUCGAACGAGUGGCGGACGGGUGAGUAAUGCCUGGGAAUCUGCCUGAUGGAGGGGGAUAACUACGGGAAACUGUAGCUAAUACCGCGUACCAUAGGAUGAGCCCAAGUGGGAUUAGGUAGUUGGUGGGGUAAAGGCUCACCAAGGCGACGAUCUCUAGCUGGUCUGAGAGGAUGACCAGCCAGACUGGGACUGAGACACGGCCCAGACUCCAACUGGAGGCAGCAGUGGGGAAGAGUGCGCAAUGGGGUCAAUCCUGAUGCAGCCAUGCCGCGUGAAUGAAGAAGGCCUUCGGGUUGUAAAGUUCUUUCGGUAGGGAGGCGUUAACUACAGAAGAAGCACCGGCUAACUCCGUGCCAGCAGCCGCGGUAAUAC
rnacentral:rRNA from 1 species